rnacentral:rRNA from 1 species
GAUGAACGCUGGCGGCGUGCCUAACACAUGCAAGUCGAGCGGACGGACGGGGAUUUUUCUUGGCUGAUGCUAGGGGCGGGCGGGUGAUUAACAGGAGUAUAACUUACCUAUAAGACUGAGAUAACUUAGCGAAAGCGGAUAUAACACCGGAUAAGCUUUUGAACCUCGGGGUUCGUAGGAGAAAGCCGGUGUUGCUGUCACUAAUUGAGGGUUCCUCGCUGGUUUAGCUAGUUGGUACGUUAACGGCUUACCAAGACGACGCUGCAUAUCCGACCUGACAGGAUGAUAGGCCACACUGGAACUGAGACACGGUCCAGACUCCUACGGGAGGCAGCAGUAGGGAAUAUUCGGCAAUGGGCGAAAGCCUGACCCAGCCACGCCGCGUGAGUGAUGAAGGUCUUCGGAUCGUAAAGCACUGUUAUUGGGGAAGAACGGCUGUAAAAUAAAACGUGGCUAUCUUGACGGUACCAAAUCAAAAAGCACCGGCUAACUACGUG